UACGGAGGGGGCUAGCGUUGUUCGGAAUUACUGGGCGUAAAGCGCGCGUAGGCGGCUUUGUAAGUUAGAGGUGAAAGCCCGGGGCUCAACCCCGGAACUGCCUUUAAGACUGCAUCGCUUGAAUCCAGGAGAGGUGAGUGGAAUUCCGAGUGUAGAGGUGAAAUUCGUAGAUAUUCGGAAGAACACCAGUGGCGAAGGCGACUGACUGGACAAGUAUUGACGCUGAGGUGCGAAAGCGUGGGGAGCAAACAGG
rnacentral:rRNA from 1 species